rnacentral:rRNA from 1 species
CCUACGGGUGGCAGCAGUGGGGAAUAUUGGGCAAUGGGCGCAAGCCUGACCCAGCAACGCCGCGUGAAGGAAGAAGGCUUUCGGGUUGUAAACUUCUUUUGUCAGGGAAGAGUAGAAGACGGUACCUGACGAAUAAGCGACGGCUAACUACGUAGCAGCAGCCGCGGUAAUACGUAGGGGGCAGGCGAUAUCCGGAUUUAGUGGGUGUAAAGGGCGUGUAGCCGGGUUGACAAGUCAGAUGUGAAAUCCUGCGGCUUAACCGUAGAACUGCAUUUGAAACUGUUGAUCUUGAGUACUGGAGAGGCAGAUGGAAUUCCUGGUGUAGCGGUGAAAUGCGUAGAUAUUAGGAGGAACACCAGUGGCGAAGGCGGUCUGCUGGACAGCAACUGACGGUGAGGCGCGAAAGCGCGGGGAGCAAACAGGAUUAGAGACCCCAGUAGUC